GUACCUUCAGACACAUCCGAUAAAAUUCAAACAAUUUAGAGAAGAUUAGCAUAGCUCUUGCGCUAGGAUGGUACGCAUAAAUCGAAAAAUACAUACACUAUAC